rnacentral:lncRNA from 1 species
GAGGCGUUCUUCCACUACCGGUCCAAUGUUCCUAGAAGGCAAUGCAAUUUGUGGACAAGCCCAUGAAACCCAAAGGUGAAAAAGGGAAACAGGUUUACACAGACAGCCCUUCCUGCCACGUCUCCAGACAUUCCUGCUGGAAUCUAAUCACCUUUGUCUUUAACCAGGCUUCCUGCCCACAUCUUACCAGGUGAUCACAGGUGUCAGUUGGUGUCUCGCCACUCCCUGAGGGUGGAUAUACUU